AACCGGGGGAACUGAAACAUCUAAGUACCCCGAGGAAAAGAAAUCAACCGAGAUUCCCCCAGUAGCGGCGAGCGAACGGGGAGCAGCCCAGAGCCUGAAUCAGUGUGUGUGUUAGUGGAAGCGUCUGGAAAGGCGCGCGAUACAGGGUGACAGCCCCGUACACAAAAAUGCACAUGCUGUGAGCUCGAUGAGUAGGGCGGGACACGUGGUAUCCUGUCUGAAUAUGGGGGGACCAUCCUCCAAGGCUAAAUACUCCUGACUGACCGAUAGUGAACCAGUACCGUGAGGGAAAGGCGAAAAGAACCCCGGCGAGGGGAGUGAAAAAGAACCUGAAACCGUGUACGUACAAGCAGUGGGAGCACGCUUAGGCGUGUGACUGCGUACCUUUUGUAUAAUGGGUCAGCGACUUAUAUUCUGUAGCAAGGUUAACCGAAUAGGGGAGCCGAAGGGAAACCGAGUCUUAACUGGGCGUUAAGUUGCAGGGUAUAGACCCGAAACCCGGUGAUCUAGCCAUGGGCAGGUUGAAGGUUGGGUAACACUAACUGGAGGACCGAACCGACUAAUGUUGAAAAAUUAGCGGAUGACUUGUGGCUGGGGGUGAAAGGCCAAUCAAACCGGGAGAUAGCUGGUUCUCCCCGAAAGCUAUUUAGGUAGCGCCUCGUGAAUUCAUCUCCGGGGGUAGAGCACUGUUUCGGCAAGGGGGUCAUCCCGACUUACCAACCCGAUGCAAACUGCGAAUACCGGAGAAUGUUAUCACGGGAGACACACGGCGGGUGCUAACGUCCGUCGUGAAGAGGGAAACAACCCAGACCGCCAGCUAAGGUCCCAAAGUCAUGGUUAAGUGGGAAACGAUGUGGGAAGGCCCAGACAGCCAGGAUGUUGGCUUAGAAGCAGCCAUCAUUUAAAGAAAGCGUAAUAGCUCACUGGUCGAGUCGGCCUGCGCGGAAGAUGUAACGGGGCUAAACCAUGCACCGAAGCUGCGGCAGCGACGCUUAUGCGUUGUUGGGUAGGGGAGCGUUCUGUAAGCCUGUGAAGGUGUGCUGUGAGGCAUGCUGGAGGUAUCAGAAGUGCGAAUGCUGACAUAAGUAACGAUAAAGCGGGUGAAAAGCCCGCUCGCCGGAAGACCAAGGGUUCCUGUCCAACGUUAAUCGGGGCAGGGUGAGUCGACCCCUAAGGCGAGGCCGAAAGGCGUAGUCGAUGGGAAACAGGUUAAUAUUCCUGUACUUGGUGUUACUGCGAAGGGGGGACGGAGAAGGCUAUGUUGGCCGGGCGACGGUUGUCCCGGUUUAAG
rnacentral:rRNA from 1 species